GCACGCUUGGCUGAGUGGUCAAAAGCACCGGGCUGCAUCCCCGGGCGGUAUACGCUGGUUCGAAUCCAGCAGCGUGCU
rnacentral:tRNA from 1 species